CGGGUGAGUAACGCGUAUGCAACCUGCCCUUCACAGGGGGAUAACCGGGAGAAAUUCCGACUAAUACCGCAUACGUCCUCCGGGGGCAUCCCCGGGGGAUGAAAGAAUUAUCGGUGAAGGAUGGGCAUGCGUGAUAUUAGGUAGUUGGCGGGGCAACGGCCCACCAAGCCCACGAUAUCUAGGGGUUCUGAGAGGAAGGUCCCCCACAUUGGUACUGAGACACGGACCAAACUCC
rnacentral:rRNA from 1 species